CAGCAAUGCGUGGCAUACGGCUCAGUAACACGUAGUCAACAUGCCCAGGGGACGUGGAUAACCUCGGGAAACUGAGGAUAAACCGCGAUAGGCCAAGGUUUCUGGAAUGGACACUGGCUGAAACCUAUAUGGCCCCUGGAUUGGACUGCGGCCGAUCAGGCUGUUGGUGAGGUAAUGACCCACCAAACCUGUAACCGGUACGGGCUUUGAGAGAAGGAGCCCGGAGAUGGGCACUGAGACAAGGGCCCAGGCCCUAUGGGGCGCAGCAGGCGCGAAAAUUCUGCAAUAGGCGAAAGCUUGACAGAGUUACUCUGAGUGAUGCCCGCUAAGGGCAUCUUUUGGCACCUCUAAAAAUGGUGCAGAAUAAGGGGUGGGCAAGUCUGGUGUCAGCCGCCGCGGUAAUACCAGCACCCCGAGUGGUCGGGACGAUUAUUGGGCCUAAAGCAUCCGUAGCUUGUUCUGCAAGUCUUCCGUUAAAUCCACCUGCUCAACAGAUGGGCUGCGGGAGAUACUACAGGGCUAGGAGGCGGGAGAGGCAAGCGGUACUCAGUGGGUAGGGGUAAAAUCCUCUGAUCCACUGAAGACCACCAGUGGCGAAGGCGGCUUGCCAGAACGCGCUCGACGGUGAGGGAUGAAAGCUGGGGGAGCAAACCGG
rnacentral:rRNA from 1 species